rnacentral:lncRNA from 1 species
GCGGGGGCGGCGCAGGGUCUCCCCUGCGAGGCCAGGCGGAGGUUCGCGGCUCCAGGUGCCCGCUCUGCUCCUCCCAGAAGCUGGACUCACAGGAAACGGAGGCCCGGCCGCCCCGCGAGCCCUCUAUUUACAGCCAGGUCGGUCCUCUCAAGGCCAAGGCCACCCGGGGACCAAUCGUCUAUUUGUCCCCAACAUGGAACAGCCAGCUCCUUCCGGCUGCCUCCUUGGAGAAAGAGGGGCCGGGGGCGGGAGCGCUGGCGGCCCGUCCCUGCUCCCCAGGCCGCGUCCACGCGGGAAAGUGCUCCUGUCCCUGCGUGUCCUCCGCAGCCGGGCGGGGCCGGAGCGGCGCUGCCCCCGGGGUCUGGGGGGCGGCCGGCCGGGGCGGGCACUCCCGACGGCGCGGGGCCGCGGGGCUGUCGUGCUGGUGAUGAUGAAGCCGGGGGUCUGGGCCACCGACAGUCCCCGGCGCCCCAGGAGGCGGGGGGCGCGUGUGCCCGGCGCCCCAUCGCGCAGCACGAGGGCUCAGAGACGCCCGCAGGCGAAGCGGCUGAUGAUGGGCCCGGGAGCACAGCGCGGAGCGGAUCCAGGACCUCGGGUCUCAUCUGGGUCCGACGUCCCCUCUCUCCUUCCUCUCCUUUCCCUCCCUCCGUCCCUUCCUCUCUUUUUUCUUUCCCUCGAUUGCACUGGAAAAUGCCUCCGUGUGCAGAAUGAGGCGCCGAGUCCUCCGAGAAGUCGAACAGCCGGACCGAUGAGAACGUGGCCCUGAUUAAGCCCAGCAUCUGAUGUGACAUUCUCUGUGGUUACGUUUACUUCCCGUUACUAGGGCUUGUGAAGGAGGCAGCGCUGAGAAGGCAGCCUUGGGAGGUCCAAGGCGUCUGGAAGAUGCGUCAGGACGCGCCCCCUGCGCCUCCUCCCCGGGGUUUGGGGUCGCGAGGAUGCUGCCGCCUGGGGCCCCUCCUGGUUACCGCCGUGAACCUGCCGGGCGCGGGGCCUCCUGCAGCCUCCGCGUCUGGCCCGUCUGUCCUCAGGCCGAGGCUGGGCCGUAGUGACCGGCUGGCGGUCCCUGCGCGUCCGGCCCUGCUCCGACGGCCCGAGGCGCGCCCGGCUGCUGGGCAGUCGGAGCCUCGCAGGCUCUGGGAUCCGGGGCCUUCUCGACAAAGCCGCACGAGACCCGUGGCCCCUACUCAGAAAGCGGAGCCACCAAACGCCUGGUCACUCGUGCCAGUGACCCCCCCCCUCCACGGGCAUCCUGGGGUCCCCCUCUUCUCCAGCCUACCUCGAAGACGCUAAAUUCGAAACAGGCCUCCAGUCUGUCCAUCUGUCCGCCCCCAUCCCCUGCUCUCGCGAGCGGGCAGCUCAGUCCUUGCUCGGGUCACUGUGACAGCCCUGUGGGUUCUCCUGCCGACUGUCGUCUCCCCGCCUCGAAGUUUACUCUCCACACCCACCCUGAGGGAGAGGGAGCUCCAGAAAGUCAAAUGAGCUCCUGUGGCCCUGAGUGUUUCAGUGGCUUCCCACUGCACCUGGGAGAAAGUGACCCCCAGCCCCCAUCACAUGGCGCAAGGCUCCCGGGAUUCCUGCAGUUUCCCCCAAAUUCUAUCCCACCAUUGUGCCAUGCCAUUCCAGACACUCUGGUCCCCCAGCUCUAUCUCCAAUACCCUGAGUUGUCCAGCCCCAGGGCCUUUGCACAUGCUGCUCCCCCUCCUUCUGGAAUGCUCUCCCCUCAGCUCUCCCCAUGACCCGCUGAAAGGAGCUCAACACAAGGUUGACAUAAUGGAAGCCAUAUUGUAGAAGAGAGACCAUGUUGUAACUUUGAAUGACCUCUGACUAACUAACCCAGCUGGAUUUGCACCCUCCAGGAGAUCCACCUGUGCUGUAGACGUUAUGACCCCUGCUAGAGCCUAUACCUUGCAGCUGCAAUAAGAUGAUAACUUUGUUCUUUUGAGUUCCUUUGGAAUGUGAUGACCCCCAAACAGACAGUCUAUGCUGAUAGCCAUCAUCAAUGAAACUGAAAGACCUGGAGUGGCGACUUGCAGUCUGUAACAACUGAGGGUCAACAUUCCUAACCCCUCCCCUAUAACCCACUGCCCUAUAUAACUGCGUCAAGAUUCUGUGCCCCCCUUACGAUGGGUCUUUUGGACAUUAGUCGGCCAUCUGCCCUCUUGCUAGCGAGCUGUAAUAAAAUGCCCUUUCUCUGCACCAUCUCACCUCUUGACGACUGGCUUUUGUCUCGGGGAGAGCAGAUUGUGCUCUUUGUGCGGUCAUACUGCCCCUCAUGUCCUUCCAUGCUCUGCUCAGGUGUCACCUGCUCAGAGGACAGCCCUGACCACCCGUCUAAAGAAGCUCUCGGCACCCACGUCGUGUCCCUAUGUCCUGCACAGAACUUGUCCCCAUGUGAAAUUGAUGUACUCAUUUUAUACCCUUCUGUUGUCAUUUCCACCCACAGGAAUGUCAACCACGUGAGAGAAGAAACUGUCUGUUCGCUGUGGAUCCCUGCUCUGAGAACGGGGUCAGCCGCAGUGAGUUCUUGAUUUGCGUUUGUUGAGUAAUUGAAGGAACAAGAAGAAUCAUAAGAUGGAAUCCCAAGAAUUCCAAAAUAAGUAUUUAAAUCAUAGAAUGUUCGAGUCAGAAGGAGCCCUUGGAAACCAUUCAGCCAAACCCAUUCCUUUUGCAGAUGGGUGAACUGAGACCCAGGAGGACAAAGUGCCUGCUCCACACCCCAAGCCGGGGGCCCUGCUCUGUGCGGGGGGGUUCUGCUUGCGUGGUUGUGGGGGCCACAUGUGGCUGUGGGGCGCCAUCUGUCCUUGACACAUGGCUGAGGAAAAUAGGGACAGAAGGCACAAAUAUGCCAAAAGAUAAAAGACUAAAAGCUACACAGUUCAGAGGAGACAGAGCUGGAGGCUGGGUGCCCAGUGGCCUGGAAAGGCUCCCCGAGGACGAGGGGCCUGAAUGGCUUGAGGAGCCGGUGGACCCCAACUUUGAGGGUCAACUCAUGGGAGGGCCUUAGGCAGGAACAGGCUGAGGCAAAUUCCUCAAGAAGGUAAUUCAGGGACAGAAGCAUCCGCUGGCUGCCUGUCACAGCCAGGGGCCUUUCACACGGAAAUCAGAUCACGUGUUCGCUGCCUGGAACAUUCGCUGCUUCUGUGCUGAGGCACCUCAACAGACGACCACAAACCGGGUGGCUUCAGACAAGGGUGAUUUGUCUCUCAAGUUCAGGAAACCGGAAGUCUGAAAUCGGGGGCAGGGGCGGUCCCUCCUGGGGCUCCGAGGCAGCAUCUGCUCCAGGCCCCCUCCAGCUGCUGGUGGGGACCGGCCUCCUUGGGGUCCCUUGGCUUGUAGGUGCAUGGCUUCCAUCUCUGCCUCACGGUCACACGACUUUCUCCAUGUGUGUCUUCACACGGCUUCAGACAAGGACGCUAGUCAUUGUAUUUAGCGUCACCCGAACCCAGUACGACCUCAUCUUAACUAAUCACAUCUGCAAAGACCCUCUUUCCAAAGAAAGUCACAUUCUGAGGUUCCGGGAGGGGCAACGCUAUUCAAGCCAGUGCAGCUUCCCAUUCUGCCGGAUUGAAAGCUGAGCCCUCUCCAGGCCUGUGGGGCAGAGCAGCCUGGUGCUUGAGACCAGGAGGCUGGAGCUGGCCUGCCCAGGUGAGCACCCAGCUCGGUCGUCACCCCCGUGUGCCUGAUGGUGGGUCAUGGCUCCCUGUUCUUUAUUCCCCUUUUGCCACAUGAUGUCACGGGGCCUCCCAAUGAUGUAGGAUGGCCAGGUGACCUGCUCUGCUCAAUGGGGCACUCGUGGGCUUGACCACGCAGAGGCCCUAAGUGCACUUGUGGGAUCUGGCUUGGUUCUUGGCUUCUGGAAGGUCCUGCCCCAAGGAGCUGCCCUCCUAGGGCUGAUGAGAGCUUCGCAGGGCUGACCUGAGGCCGAUCCCCAGCCUGCGGCCAAGCCCGGCAGCCCGGUGACCCUCCACAGAGUCACCCCAUCGAGCCCAACUCAGAUCAGCUGAACCCAGACGACCUGCCCUCCGCGAGCUGGGAAGUAAGUCACUGUGUUUGGAUGGUUCGUUACAGAUCAACACUGGGACAGUGGCUGAGGAAAACAGAAAUGUGUUGCUGGGCAUUCAGCUGCCCUCUCGGUUUCCCCAUCUGUAAAAUGGGGCUGAAAGCAGUACCAGCCUCCUCAGUUGUUGUGAGGGUGAAGCGAGAUAAUAAACGUAACGUGGCAUGUGGGGCGGAGACAAGAGCAGACGAGGUCCCUGCCCCACGGGCCUCCCACGUUGGCGGGAGAGAGACAGGAACGUGAAAUCCAGCGGGGCCGCACGUGGCCGGUGGUGAAGGUCGCCAAGAGGGAAGCACAGCAGGAUAGGGAGGCGGGGACAGGAGUGGUGCGGGCUCAACAGGCUGUUCAGGGAGGGACUCACUGAGACAGGGACAUAGGGCAAGGGGCCUGAAGAAAUAAGUGGGGCACGAGGGUUCUGCGGGGAGCGUUCAAGGCAGAGGGCACAGCCGGUACAAGGCCCGUGUGUGCGAGGAGCAGUGGGGGCCAGAGUGGCUGCAGGGAGGUGGGCGAGGGGGACUGUGGGAGCCAGGUCAGAGAGGUGACGGCACGGGAUCCGUGUACGACCUUGAGGGCCAGUGAAAGGACGCUGGCGUUACCUGUGCAUGUUGGAGCCCUCAGAUGGGUCUGAACACAGGAGUGACGUGCUCUGAGUUCAUUUUAGGUGACGCCUCAGGCUGUGUGCGGGGCCAGACUGUGGGGCGGAGGGCAGAAGCAGCUGGACCUGUGAGGAGGCCACCAGGGUGGGGGCAGGAAGGUGCAGGGCACGGUCAUCAGUGCCAGCUCUGGGAUUUGCACCUGAGGGUCGGCUGACGGGAUCUGCUGAUGGAUGGGGCGGAGGCGGUAAGAGGGAAACAGACCGUCAAGGAGGACGCCAAGGGCUUUGGGCUGAGCGGCUGGAAGGACUGCGGUGCUCCUGAGUCAGGUGUGGGAGGUCUCAGGAGGAGCAGGCGGGAGCAGGGAGCGGCUGAGAGGCAGAGAGACCUUCCAGAAAGGUCUGGGGUCCUGAGCCAACUUGGCCCCCCCUCAAGAGCUUCCUUCAUCUGAGCUGCAAGGAUGACCACCUGUGUUGUCCCCGAGCGGGUGACGCCAGCCAGGCUCUGCACUUGUGUCUCCCUCCGAGAGACAAAGGUCAAUGUCACAGCAGUCUGCUCUGAUGCUGGCUUCAAGCCAAGGCCCUUAAUGUUCAAUGAGAAAUCUGCAUUGAUGAAAUUUUCAUUAAAGAAACGUUAUCCCUUUCCCUCGCCUUGUUAUUCCGUGGCUGUGGGUAUCAGGCUAAUUUGGGUUUGAUUACCCCGAUGAUCUGAAGAUUGGAGCAUUAUUAAAAAUUUAGAUGAGCAAUGAUAGGUCUGCGCCUCCCUCUCCUCUCUCAGCCGGAGCACAGGGGCUCUGCUAACGAUCACAACGAAUUCGGGGCAGACAUGGCAAUUAGAGGAGUAUCGAUAGUUCGAGGGGGCUUCAACCCCUCUGCCUCCAACGGAAAUCGGCUGGGUGGCUUC